AUACUUACCUGGCAGGGGAGAUACCAUGAUCACGAAGGUGGUUUUCCCAGGGCGAGGCUUAUCCAUUGCACUCCGGAUGUGCUGACCCCUGCGAUUUCCCCAAAUGUGGGAAACUC
rnacentral:snRNA from 1 species